rnacentral:lncRNA from 1 species
GACAGCCUUCCUUCCCAGCAUGCCUUGCCCUGGCCUGGGCAGUGUUGUCCACACCCACAUGAGGGUGGUGUCGGUGCUGCCCACGUCCCAGCUGUGAGGUCAGCCAGCCACAGAAGCAGCAGCUGUGGGGACAAGCUUCUGUGCGCAGCUCUGUCGUUCAGCAGCUGUGUCCUUCAGAAAGCCCUGGAGCUCUCUGGGCCUCAGGUGGCCUUUCGGAGUGUAGACAACGCCAACAGCUCUGACCACAGACAGCCAUGGCAGGCAGGUCUGUCAGUGACUAAGGAAUAUGCCCAGCAGAGACACGGCAAGACCACAAACCAUCUUGGGACCCUGAGAAAGAAGACACGGUGGGCGGAUUCAACAGUCUUAUGGGGUCACAAUGCACAGGGCUUGAUCACCAGUGGUUUAACAGCUGUGGGCGGAGGAGUAUCAAGCACUCCCAUAUCCUCGGGGGAAAUGGAAGCUCAUGCUGCCUCUGCAGAGGGUGAAUGGUCAGCACAGAAGACAGCCACAGAUCAAGAAAAACUAGUUGUCAACAAGGCCCACUCACUUAGAAACAAUCUAAAUAAAACCCGGAAGAUCAGAGCAGAUUAUUUUAACAUUUAAUUUGUGUUUUACCCUUAACAAUAUGUAAAAUCCAUGAACAAAAUUUUUGUUCUAUACUUUGUGCUAUAUAAAUUUCUUAAUGCAACUCAUUAUCCGAAGACUCAGAUGUUGACUCUGGGUUUUCAAGCGUGGUUUUUCCAAAUAAACGUUAUGAUGGUAGAAACCUUUUCCACUAUUUCAGGGCAGGAACGUAGUUUUAUGCAAUAUUGAAUGGCUUCAUCAGGUUCCCCAAGGGCCUCUCUUGGCCCUGAUAUCACCACACCUGCCUUGUGUCUGUUGGCAAAUUUGUUUGUUUUUUCUCCAUAGUUAACUCUUUGAAGUCCUUACCUGUCAGUGACUUUGUGGAAUUCAGGCAAUCCUGCAGCAUUACUCUCAUUGACUUCAUCAAAGUUCUGACUCCUUUGAGAAACUUGAAACACCAGAUCAUAUUUGGUCAACAUCCUCAUUUCUUUUUUUUUUUUUUUUUGAGAUGGAGUCUUGCUCUGUUGCCCAGGCUGGAGUGCAGUGGCAUGAUCUCGGCUCACUGCAACCUCUGCCUCCCAGGUGCAAGCGAUUCUACUCCCUCAGCCUCCUGAGUAGCUGAGAUUACAGGUGCCCACCACCACGCCUGGCUAAUUUUUUUUGUAUUUUUAGUAGAGAUGGGGUUUCACCAUGUUGGUCAGGCUGGUCUCGAACUCCUGACCUCAUGAUCUUCCCACCUCGGCCUCCCAAAGUGCUGAGAUUACAGGCGUGAGCCACCGUGUCCAGCCCACUAUCCUUAUUUCUUUACAUCAGUUGCCCGCUUUUCAAACUCUAGUAUUUCAUCUGUCCAUUUGGCUUCUAAUUUAAAUUAUUACAAUUUUCAUUUCUAUUGACUUAAUUUUCUUCCAACUGAGCUCUCACUUUUAAAUUAAUGUAUUUAUUUGAAUUGAUAGUUGUACAUAUUUUAGAUGUACACAUUUUGGGGGUACAUGAGAUAAUUUGAUACAUUCAUAUAAUCGAAUUAGGGCAAUUUGAGUAUCCAUCACCUGAGAUAUUUUCUUUUCUGUAUGCUAGGAACAUUUGAGUCAUUCUCUUCUAGCUUUUUUGAAAUGUACAGUGGAUUAAUGCUAACCAUAGUCACCCUACUGAUCUAUGGAACACCCGGUCUUAUCACUUUUGUCUAAGCAUAUAUCUGUAUCCAUUAAUCAACCUCUCUUCAUCCCCUGACCGACUUCCCUUCCCAGCCUCUGAUAACUGCCAAGCUACUUUCUGGCUUUAUGGGUCAGCUCUCAUUUCUAAUAGUAUCUUUUUUUUGAGACGGAGUCUUGUUCUGUUGCCCAGGCUGUAGUGCAAUGACAUGAUCUUGGCUCACUGCAAACUGCGACUUCUGGGUUCAACAAUUCUCCUGUCUCAGCCUCCCAAGUAGCUGGGAUUACAGGCGCCCGCCACCAUGCCCAGCUAAUUUUGUAUUUUAGUAGAGAUGGGGUUUCAUCAUGUUGGCCAGGCUGGUCUUGAACUCUUGACCUCAAGUGAUACACCCGCCUCGGCCUCUGAAAGUGCUAGGAUUACAGGCGUGAGCCACUGCGCCCGGCUGCUAAUAGUAUCUUGUUCCCUGCGCAUGUUUCAUAUUUCCACUUAAACACAUGAAAUGUGCUUAUUGAGAAUCUGUAUAUCCCCACAUCUGGAGUCAUUGUAGGACAAAGGCAGUGCUGUUUCUGUUUCCCUAUCUGGUGGUAUUCUGUGCUUGUGUGAGUUUAUGGGUUUCCAACGGAUCAUUCUCUGGACAGAUUCUGAGGCCUGGGUUGUGGGUGUCUAACUACAUAAAAUAGUGCCUUUCCUUCAGUGAGCCCCGUGAACCUGGGCCUGACUGAGAAAUUCAUCUGCUAGAGUGUUUUUGGACCAUGCAGAAAAUUAAAGCCCUAACCCUUCUCUGGAUUUUUGAGGUCUGAGUUUUCAAAGGAAUCAACCCCCCUCCCUGCCCUCUACCCAGAGCCAGAGUUGAGUAACACAAAUGUGCUUGCUAUCUCUUUUGCAGGGAAGAUUUUUCUCUAAAUUCCCCUUUUCCUGACGGUAGCUAUUUGAGUCUUCCAACCACACACAAUGAUCCUUAUUUAUCUCCUCACCUUGGGUCUUGCGCCAUUGUUAGAAACCCAAACUCCAUGUGACUGUGCCUGACAACUGCCUUGAUGGGCCACCGAUGUCUCCAGAGCCUGCUUUUAUGCUUUCCUGUUACGUUUUAUUUCUGAAGAUUGUUCUUACUAUUUUGGUUUGGUAAAGAUUCGUGUUUAAAAGCAUAUAUUUUGUACUCUAUCCGCCAUUCUGAAGUAUAUUAAAGCAGGAUGUUUUGUCCAAUAUAUAACUAUCAAAAGAAGCCUCUUUUAAAUAUUGUAAAUGUCCCCUUUUAAUAUUAAUUUUCAAUAUACCCAAAUAUUAUUUUUAAGUAUAAUAUAAAAUAAUGUUUUUCAUAUUGAUUAUCUAUAUACCAUUAUUAUAUUGAUUAUAUACCAUUUUAUUAAAAAAACUUCUAUUUUUUUCUCAUUGAGGUUAUGGCACCCCUGCCAUAUAUUGAUUUCACAUAUCUUGGGUGCAUCCUGGGCUGUUUCUUUCUGUCGGUUCUGUUUGUCACAGUACACUCUGUACCUUGUCUUAAUUCUAUAGCUUUCUAGUGUAUAUUGAUAUUUGGUAGGACAUGCCUCUUUUCUUCUUCUUCUUCUUCACAAAUAACUCAGCUAUUAUUUGCCCUUCUCUAUUAUGUGAUAAUAAAUGUCAUGCUCCAUGAAAAAUACUAUUGGAAUUCUGCAUGGACUUACAUUAAAUUUAUAGACUAAUUUAAGGAAAAUUGACUUGUUCAUGCUACUGACUUUGAAUCCAUAAAUACACCGAGUCAUCCAGCCAGAGCUAUAUGCACAAUCUUCCCUCAGUAUCCAUGGGGAUGGGUUCCAGGACCUCCCACAGACACCAAAAUCCCCAGAUGCUCACAUCCCUGGUAGAAAAUGGCAUAAUAUUUGCGUAUAACCUCCACACAUCCUCUGUGCGCUUUAAAUCAUCUCUCGAUUGCUUACAAUGCUUAAUAAAUGUAAAUGCUAUGGAAAUUGUUGUUAAACUGUAGUGUUUAGGGAAUCAUGACAAGAAAAAGGGUCCAUAUGUGAUCAGUACAGACACAACCAUCCACUUUUUGAAAUAUUUUUGAUCUGCAUCCACAGAUGUGGAACCCACGGAUAUGGAGGGCCAACUGCAUGUCUUUUGGAAUUCCUAAUCCUGCUUGUAGGGGCCUGGUAAAUCUUUGGCAUCUAGUAGUUUGUUGGAAAGGUAAAUGGAAAUUUGUUUCCUGUUGUAUUUUCUAUUUAUUUUACCAUUUGGAAUGCUACUGACAUUUUUUAAAAGUACAUAUCCAGAAACUUUCUUGGUAGUUUUGUUUCUUUGAUGGUCCAUGUAUACAAUUAUAUCGUCUGCAA